CCUACGGGAGGCUGCAGUGGGGAAUAUUGGGCAAUGGGCGCAAGCCUGACCCAGCAACGCCGCGUGAAGGAAGAAGGCUUUCGGGUUGUAAACUUCUUUUCUCAGGGACGAAGCAAGUGACGGUACCAGAGGUAUAAGUCACGGCUAACUACGUGCCAGCAGCCGCGGUAAUACGUAGGCGGCAAGCGUUAUCCGGAUUUGCUGGGUGUAAAGGGCGUGUAGGCGGGUCAGAAAGUCAGCUGUGAAAACCAAGGGCUCAAACUGUGGCCUGCAUUUGAAACUGUAGUUAUUGAGUACUGGAGAGGCGGGCGGAAUUCCAAGUGUAGCGGUGAAAUGCGUAGAGAUUUGGAGGAACACCAGUGGCGAAGGCGGUCUGCUGGACAGCAACUGACGCUGAGGCGCGAAAGCGUGGGGAGCAAACAGGAUUAGAUACCCCUGUAGUC
rnacentral:rRNA from 1 species